UUCAUUCAAUUUUUAAUGCUUUUGUGAUGCAUUACAUGUGCCUAAAACAUUGCACAGGAGUGUGUGUGGUUGUGUGUGUGUGUGUGUGUGUGUGUGUGUGUAAUUAUUU